rnacentral:tRNA from 2 species
GCGAGCGUGCUGAAAUUGGUAAACAGACAGGACUUAAAAUCCUGCGGGUGGCAACACCCUUGUGGGUUCAAGUCCCACCGCUCGCACCA